CCUACGGGUGGCUGCAGUGGGGAAUAUUGCACAAUGGGGGAAACCCUGAUGCAGCGAUGCCGCGUGGAGGAAGAAGGUUUUCGGAUUGUAAACUCCUUUUAUCAGGGACGAUAAUGACGGUACCUGACGAAGAAGCCCCGGCUAACUACGUGCCAGCAGCCGCGGUAAUACGUAGGGGGCGAGCGUUAUCCGGAUUUACUGGGUGUAAAGGGAGCGUAGGCGGGACGGCAAGUCAGAUGUGAAAACUGAGGGCUCAACCUUCAGACUGCAUUUGAAACUGCUGUUCUUGAGUGAAGUAGAGGUAAGUGGAAUUCCUAGUGUAGCGGUGAAAUGCGUAGAUAUUAGGAGGAACACCAGUGGCGAAGGCGGCUUACUGGACUGUAACUGACGUUGAGGCUCGAAAGCGUGGGGAGCAAACAGGAUUAGAUACCCUGGUAGUC
rnacentral:rRNA from 1 species